GGAUGGGAGACACAGAGCUGCACCGAGAAACUCCCCUUCUUCUGCUAUGGUGGAAAGACCACUACAACUUCACAUACUACUACACCUGGAGUCACAAGUCCUACAAGCCAAGGUGCUGUGAGGUUGGUGAAUGGAGGCAGUCGAUGCGCU